rnacentral:rRNA from 1 species
CAUUACCGAGUUAUACAACUCAUCAACCCUGUGAACAUACCUAAAACGUUGCUUCGGCGGGAACAGACGGCCCUGUAACAACGGGCCGCCCCCGCCAGAGGACCCCUAACUCUGUUUUUAUAAUGUUUUUCUGAGUAAACAAGCAAAUAAAUUAAAACUUUCAACAACGGAUCUCUUGGCUCUGGCAUCGAUGAAGAACGCAGCGAAAUGCGAUAAGUAAUGUGAAUUGCAGAAUUCAGUGAAUCAUCGAAUCUUUGAACGCACAUUGCGCCCGCCAGUAUUCUGGCGGGCAUGCCUGUUCGAGCGUCAUUACAACCCUCAGGCCCCCGGGCCUGGCGUUGGGGAUCGGCGGAAGCCCCCUGUGGGCACACGCCGUCCCUCAAAUACAGUGGCGGUCCCGCCGCAGCUUCCAUUGCGUAGUAGCUAACACCUCGCAACUGGAGAGCGGCGCGGCCAUGCCGUAAAACACCCAACUUCUGAAUGUUGACCUCGAAUCAGGUAGGAAUACCCGCUGAACUUAAGCAUAUCAAUAA